rnacentral:lncRNA from 1 species
UAGGGUUUAUUAUUUUGCUGACGACGUUAAAAUUAUUUUUAAAAAUCUUUUUUUUUGUAACUAUUAUUUUUUUUAACUUUUAUUUUAAAAACAUAAUAUAACUUGAUAAUAUUGUGUUUACUUUUUUAAAAGAUAUUAAAUUUGAAAUAAUGAAAUUUUAUUGGUUGGUGAACCUAGAGGUUUAACUUAGAGGGUGAGGUGAACCCAAGAAUAACUCUUUUAUUUACUUCAAAUAUCUUUUAUUUUACUUUUUGGUCCCUCUUUUUCAAGCAUAAUUUACUGUUGAUGUUUUAUGGAACCCGUUUAUGACUGCAAAUCUGGUGAAUACAACAGACAACUCCCUCCCUUUCAAAAAUACAAACUAAUUUCUUUUAAUGUGCCAGGUGCAAUCUGGUUUCUA